UUAAAGGAAUUGACGGGGGAGCACCACAACGGGUGGAGCUUGCGGUUUAAUUGGAUUCAACGCCGGAAAUCUUACCGGGACCGACAGCAAUAUGAAGGCCAGGCUGAAGACUUUGCCGGAUUAGCUGAGAGGUGGUGCAUGGCCGUCGUCAGUUCGUACUGUGAAGCAUCCUGUUAAGUCAGGCAACGAGCGAGACCCACGCCCACAGUUGCCAGCGUACUCUCCGGAGUGACGGGUACACUGUGGGACCGCCGCUGCUAAAGCGGAGGAAGGAAUGGGCAACGGUAGGUCAGUAUGCCCCGAAUAUCCCGGGCUACACGCGAGCUACAAUGGUUGGUACAAUGGGUAUCUACCCCGAAAGGGGACGGGAAUCUCCUAAAACCAAUCUUAGUUCGGAUUGAGGGCUGCAACUCGCCCUCAUGAAGCUGGAAUCCGUAGUAAUCGCGUUUCAACAGAACGCGGUGAAUACGUCCCUGCUCCUU
rnacentral:rRNA from 1 species